rnacentral:rRNA from 1 species
GACGAACGCUGGCGGCAUGCCUAAUACAUGCAAGUCGAACGAUACCGCAAGGUAUAGUGGCGGACGGGUGAGUAACGCGUGGGCAACCUGCCCUGAAGAUUGGGAUAACACCCCGAAAGGGGUGCUAAUACCAAAUGUAGUUGCGGUACCGCAUGGUACUGCAAAAAAAGGAGCAAUCCACUUCAGGAUGGGCCCGCGUCUGAUUAGCUAGUUGGUGGGGUAACGGCCUACCAAGGCGACGAUCAGUAGCCGACCUGAGAGGGUGAUCGGCCACACUGGGACUGAGACACGGCCCAGACUCCUACGGGAGGCAGCAGUCGGGAAUAUUGGGCAAUGGACGAAAGUCUGACCCAGCAAUGCCGCGUGAGUGACGAAGGUCUUCGGAUCGUAAAGCUCUGUCUUCAGGGACGAAAAAAGUGACGGUACCUGAGGAGGAAGCCCCGGCUAACUACGUGCCAGCAGCCGCGGUAAUACGUAGGGGGCGAGCGUUGUCCGGAAUUACUGGGCGUAAAGGGCGAGUAGGCGGCUAUACAAGUCAGAUGUGAAAUACUGAGGCUUAACCUCAGGGCUGCAUUUGAAACUGUAUAGCUUGAGUGCAGGAGAGGAAAGUGGAAUUCCCCAGUGUAGCGGUGAAAUGCGUAGAUAUUGGGAGGAACACCAGUGGCGAAGGCGACUUUCUGGACUGUAACUGACGCUGAGGCGCGAAAGCUG